rnacentral:rRNA from 1 species
AUGUUUGGUUUUCGAUGUUUUUUGCAUGACUAUAUGGGCGGAGGGGAGGAGAGCUCAGCUGAUGGCCUAGAGGUUGGGGAAUUCUUAGAGCAGGAUCCGGUUAUUACGUCGCGUCUGUCAGUUAAGCAUGUAGUAAACGUCAUGGGGAAGUUUGACGAAUACAAGAGGUGGCUAGUGUCAGAGAUCGGGUUUGGUGGAAUACUGAAGCUACCGAUGCUCAAGAAAAUAGAUCUGAGGAUGAGUGCCUGGGUGAUGAGGAAGGUGAAGGUUAGAUCUCGAGAGAUUGUAGUUGAUGGCGAGAGGAAGAUUGUGUUUACGGCAAGUGACUUCCAUAAGAUUUCUGGGGUGCCGUGUGGGAAUCGAGAUGUGCAUGGUAGGGAUGCACAAGUUGCGUUUUCAGCGAUUCAGUUUAUAAAGCAGACAAUCGAGAUGAACAACUCUAUUGCUCAUAAGUUGAAGGCUGUUGAAAUGUUUAUAAGUAGAGAAAUUACGGAGGAGUCAAGCAAGAUGGAGAAGGAUUGUUUCUAG